rnacentral:rRNA from 1 species
UACAGAGGUGGCAAGCGUUGUUCGGAAUUACUGGGCGUAAAGGGCGCGUAGGCGGCCCUCUAAGUCAGACGUGAAAUCCCCGGGCUCAACCCGGGAACUGCGUCCGAUACUGGCAGGCUUGAAUCCGGGAGAGGGAUGUGGAAUUCCAGGUGUAGCGGUGAAAUGCGUAGAUAUCGGGAGGAACACCAGUGGCGAAGGCGACUACCUGGCCUGUUUCUUGACGCUGAGGCGCGAAAGCUAGGGGAGCAAACGGG